CAAAUACUGGAAGGCUGCUAUGAGGUCUCCACGCAGCCUUCUCUUCUCCAGGCUGAACAGCCCCAACUUUCUCAGCCUAUCUUCAUAUGGGAGGCGCUCCAGUUCCCUGAUCAUCCUUGUGACUCUCCUCUGGACUUGUUCCAACAUUUCCAUGUCUUUUUUAUGUUUAGGACACCAGAACUAUACGCAAUACUCCAAGUGGGGUCUUCUUUUUGUUAGUGCUCCCCUUAUUUUUCCAAUUAUCUGGAAUCAUCCUAAUGUCCAGGGGCUUUGUCAGGAUCAAGACUGCAAUGUGUUUGUGGCCCAUUUGGGGAAGACCGAGAGUACGAAAGUUGGAGAGAAACCUCUAGUUUGAUCUAUGGGUUAUGUGCUCAACACCAAUGCCCAUCAUCUGAAUCACUGAGAAGCAAUUGCAACUUGAAAUCUGCCCCCAAAAGCCAUACUUGAGCCUCCAUAUCCUCAUCAUUGCUACCUAUCAUGCAGAGAAACUUUAACAAGAACACGGUAGUCCUGUUGGUGGCAAACACUGAAUAAACAGAACUCUCUGCCAAUAUAA